rnacentral:rRNA from 1 species
UACGUAGGUGGCAAGCGUUAUCCGGAAUUAUUGGGCGUAAAGAGCGCGCAGGUGGUUGAUUAAGUCUGAUGUGAAAGCCCACGGCUUAACCGUGGAGGGUCAUUGGAAACUGGUCGACUUGAGUGCAGAAGAGGGAAGUGGAAUUCCAUGUGUAGCGGUGAAAUGCGUAGAGAUAUGGAGGAACACCAGUAGCGAAGGCGGCUCUCUGGACUGUAACUGACGCUGAGGCACGAAAGCGUGGGGAGCAAACAGGAUUAGA